rnacentral:rRNA from 1 species
UGGGAAUAUUGGACAAUGGCGCAAGCCUGAUCCAGCCAUGCCGCGUGUGUGAAGAAGGCUCUAGGGUUGUAAAGCACUUUCAGUCGGGAGGAAAGCUUGAUGGUUAAUACCCCUCAAGUGUGACGUAUCCGACAGAAGAAGCACCGGCUAACUCCGUGCCAGCAGCCGCGGUAAUACGGAGGGUGCAAGCGUUAAUCGGAAUUACUGGGCGUAAAGCGCGCGUAGGUGGCUUGUUAAGUUGGAUGUGAAAGCCCCGGGCUCAACCUGGGAACUGCAUUCAAAACUGGCAGGCUAGAGUACAGUAGAGGGUAGUGGAAUUUCAGGUGUAGCGGUGAAAUGCGUAGAGAUCUGAAGGAACAUCAGUGGCGAAGGCGACUGCCUGGACUGAUACUGACACUGAGGUGCGAAAGCGUGGGGAGCGAACAGGAUUAGAUACCCCUGGUAGUCCACGCCGUAAACGAUGUCUACUAGUUGUCGGGGACUUGAUCCUUUGGUAACGAAGCUAACGCGAU